rnacentral:rRNA from 1 species
GGCUCAGAACGAACGCUGGCGGCGUGUCCUAAUACAUGCAAGUCGAGCGAAUCUCUAGGAGCUUGCUCCUGUUGGUUAGCGGCGGACGGGUGAGUAACACGUGGGCAACCUGCCUGUAAGACUGGGAUAACACCGGGAAACCGGUGCUAAUACCGGAUAAUCUUUUUCCUCUCAUGAGGAAAAACUGAAAGUCGGUUUCGGCUGACACUUACAGAUGGGCCCGCGGCGCAUUAGCUAGUUGGUGAGGUAACGGCUCACCAAGGCGACGAUGCGUAGCCGACCUGAGAGGGUGAUCGGCCACACUGGGACUGAGACACGGCCCAGACUCCUACGGGAGGCAGCAGUGGG